rnacentral:lncRNA from 1 species
UGCCCUGUGCCUGGGUGAGUGAGGUGUGCAAGGUGGGCCUCUGUUCUGCUGCCAGCCCAGCCAAUGAUGGCAAGGACAGAGGGUUCAAAGCUCUGACCCCCAUUGUAAACAGGGGGCAGAGGAGCCGCCCACCUGAGCAGCAUCAGAUCCAUGCAAAGUGCCAGGUGGAGGUGAAACACAGCCAGCGACACGACUGUUGGUAUUUCGGGUCAACUCACCUUGAGCUGGAGGGAGCAGUCAGCCUCCAAGAAGGCACGACGUGACACAGUCCAGACCCCUUGCCCGCCUCUGCUGGCCUUUCCUCAUCAGCAAAAUGUGGAGAUAACAGCGCCUACCUAAUUGGGAUGCUGUGAGGAUUGAGAGAAUACACAGAAACAGCUUAGAACACUACCUCAAUUGUUCUACACACACCUGAGUUGGCAAGUGUGUGAAGUAACCUCCUCCGAGUCCUGGACUGUGGACAGUGAUGCCACCUUUUGGCACAACUCCCCUAGAAUUUAAGGAGACCAAGACAUUGUGAAAACCAAGUGUCUCCCACCUUGCCAGGACCUAUAAAGUCAAGGGCGGUGCUGGCAUAUUUUGUUCCUGUGACAGGGGCUGAUGAGGUCACUGUGGGAAUCACAGCAAGUCCAAGUCCAUGAGGCUUAGGGAGAAGGCUGUGCAUCACCCUCAUGGGCCGGGAGCUCCAGGAACAGCUUUCCCAGAUUUACGCUGAGGGAGUCCUGAAUCCAGGAAGGAGGUUCCAUGGCCACCUGGCACCAUGUGUCAAUCUCCCAGGUCUGUGAGUACUCUGGUCUCAGCCAGCUGAGGAAGCCGUGGGUCAACAUGAAAAUGCACACCC